rnacentral:rRNA from 1 species
UACAGGGGGUGCAAACGUUGCUCGGAAUCAUUGGGCGUAAAGCGCACGUAGGCGGUUCGUUAUGUCGGAUGUGAAAGCCCUUGGCUUAACCGAGGAAGUGCAUCCGAAACUGGCGAGCUAGAGUACUAAAGAGGAUCGCGGAAUUCCCGGUGUAGAGGUAAAAUUCGUAGAUAUUCGGAAGAACACCAGUGGCGAAGGCGGCUCACUGGACCGUUGUUGACGCUGAGGUGCGAAAGCGUGGGGAGCAAACAGG